AGCUUGUAAACAAAUCGGGUUUUCGUGUUUUCGGUUUUUGCUCUAAUUUUCGCGGUCGCGGUCGCAGAUAAGUGAGAUUCUGGCGCGGAUUGGCAAUGAGCAGCGGCGCCGCCGGCUGCAAGCGCGUGCACAGCAUCGAAGUUGAGCAGCCGCUGGAGGCGGAGCGCGUGCAGCACGGUUUGCUGUUGGUCAAGGGGCGUCUGCUGCCCAAGUGCGCGGCGGCGCGCCAACUGAGGGCCACUCUCGACAGGUCGCUGGAACAGCUGACCCAGCUCUCGGCGGCCGGCGAAUUUAAGUUGCUGUUUGACUUGGAGCGUGCCGCCCAAGGGAAUCCUGCAACAGAGACUGUCUGCCACUUGGAACUACGUUCCUGCAGCGCCGUCCGGGGAAUUAACUUCAGCUAUACUCCCCGAAGCAGCUCCUACAAAGUGCAACCGUUGUAUCUGCUGUGCAGCGACGAGCAAAAGCCGGAGGAACAGCAGCGAGAGGUGCACUCUCUCAUCGAUCUCAAUUUGCGCCUGGUGCAGUGCAUCUACGCACACAAACUGCUGGCAGCUGGCUUUCCAAAUCGCACCUUCACCCUAAACGGCGGCUGCUGCUCGUUCCGCAGCCAGCUGACCCAGGAACAGGCGCUGGCCAAGAGUGAGGACGAGCUGUGGCAGCAUUUCGCUGGCGAAAUCAUUGCCUGCCCGCAGUGGGGUCAUCAGAUACGGCUCAAGUUCGUGGCCUUUGUCGGCUGCACGCGAUACGACGGGGCCGGUGUGGCCGCCAGCGGUGACUCCUCCUACGCUAGCAUCCGACGGCAUCUCAGCGGACACGCAGCCCUAGGCGGUGGCGGUCUUGCGCUAUUUGGUAGCGCCCACUUUUACUCUUGGCCACGCAGCUUCUCGGAGAUUGGUGACUGUGUAAGUAGCACGGAACGUGUGGACGUGUCCCGACUGCCGGACGAGAGCAACUACAGGCGAACGUACGGCGGUGUGUAUGCCAGCACUUUGGGUGCCGUGUGCCACGAGUUGGGCCACUGCUUUGAUCUCGGCCACACCUCCGAGGGGGUGAUGGGUCAGGGAUUUGACUACCUAAACCGAGUCUUGACCGUGGAUCAGCCUACGGAACACCUGCCGCAGCGAAUCGUAGAGGCAGUAGGCGGCGGGGCAAAGAGAGCUGCUGGUGGUGGUGGUUCCAGUGCUGCAGGAAGAUUGGGAGCUGGAAAUGCUGGCAACGAGGGACCCCCAGCCAACCGUCCGCGCUUCACGAAACUGAAGCUGCAGGCAAGCAACCAACUUCUGGACAACUAUCACAACCAAAGGCGACACGACAGCUUCUAUUUCGCACGCAACUGUGCUGUGAUCUUGGCCAGCCAUCGCUGGCUCAAUCUGGACCUGGAGGAAACGUCGUCGGAGUACAUCGAGCCCGCUGACAUCCAGCUAAGCUGGCCCACCAAGGAGAUUGUGUCCAGCAGGCCCCUACGGCUGGUCGAACUGCGUUGCAAUCGCAACAGUUUGGUGGCCCACUACGAGGAGUUUGAGGUGGAUACUGUGAAUCGCUUCCAGCUGCCAGCAUCUCUGUGGCACCUCCUGGCGGAGCAGCGGACACAUUACGUAUUUGUACUGACCACCAGUGGCGAUACCAAACGACUUUCCUGUGAUUCCUUACCAUAAGGAGGAGCAGCCAGAGCAGGUUAUAAUUUCACUCUAUAAAAUUGAGUGCGAUAAAGCAACAUCUCCAGUUACUGUCUUCUAAUAUCCUUGGAAACGAGUCGGCGGCAGCAGUCUUCAGACGGAACGUAGCCUGAGCGGAGCGCACAUACAACAUCAGAACAU